UGGGGAAUUUUGGACAAUGGGCGAAAGCCUGAUCCAGCCAUUCCGCGUGCAGGAUGAAGGCCCUCGGGUUGUAAACUGCUUUUGUACGGAACGAAAAGCCUUCUUCUAAUACAGGAGGGUCAUGACGGUACCGUAAGAAUAAGCACCGGCUAACUACGUGCCAGCAGCCGCGGUAAUACGUAGGGUGCAAGCGUUAAUCGGAAUUACUGGGCGUAAAGCGUGCGCAGGCGGUUAUGUAAGACAGAUGUGAAAUCCCCGGGCUCAACCUGGGAACUGCAUUUGUGACUGCAUAGCUAGAGUACGGUAGAGGGGGAUGGAAUUCCGCGUGUAGCAGUGAAAUGCGUAGAUAUGCGGAGGAACACCGAUGGCGAAGGCAAUCCCCUGGACCUGUACUGACGCUCAUGCACGAAAGCGUGGGGAGCAAACAG
rnacentral:rRNA from 1 species